rnacentral:rRNA from 1 species
GUGGGGAAUAUUGGGCAAUGGGGGAAACCCUGACCCAGCAACGCCGCGUGAGGGAAGAAGGUUUUCGGAUUGUAAACCUCUGUCCUUGGUGACGAAGGAAGUGACGGUAACCAAGGAGGAAGCCCCGGCUAACUACGUGCCAGCAGCCGCGGUAAUACGUAGGGGGCAAGCGUUGUCCGGAAUGAUUGGGCGUAAAGGGCGCGUAGGCGGCCUGGUAAGUCUGGAGUGAAAGUCCUGCUUUUAAGGUGGGAAUUGCUUUGGAGACUGUCGGGCUUGAGUGCAGGAGAGGUAAGUGGAAUUCCCGGUGUAGCGGUGAAAUGCGUAGGGAUCGGGAGGAACACCAGUGGCGAAGGCGACUUACUGGACUGUAACUGACGCUGAGGCGCGAAAGUGUGGGGAGCAAACAGGAUUAGAAACCCGAGUAGUCC